GACGAACGCUGGCGGCGUGCUUAACACAUGCAAGUCGAACGGAAAGGCCCUGCUUUUGUGGGGUGCUCGAGUGGCGAACGGGUGAGUAACACGUGAGUAACCUGCCCUUGACUUUGGGAUAACUUCAGGAAACUGGGGCUAAUACCGGAUAGGAGCUCCUGCUGCAUGGUGGGGGUUGGAAAGUUUCGGCGGUUGGGGAUGGACUCGCGGCUUAUCAGCUUGUUGGUGGGGUAGUGGCUUACCAAGGCUUUGACGGGUAGCCGGCCUGAGAGGGUGACCGGCCACAUUGGGACUGAGAUACGGCCCAGACUCCUACGGGAGGCAGCAGUGGGGAGUAUUGCACAAUGGGCGGAAGCCUGAUGCAGCAACGCCGCGUGCGGGAUGACGGCCUUCGGGUUGUAAACCGCUUUCGCCUGUGACGAAGCGUGAGUGACGGUAAUGGGUGAAGAAGCACCGGCUAACUACGUG
rnacentral:rRNA from 1 species